GAUCCUGGCUCAGGAUGAACGCUAGCUACAGGCUUAACACAUGCAAGUCGAGGGGCAGCAUGGACCCAGCUUUGCUGGGUUUGAUGGCGACCGGCGCACGGGUGAGUAACGCGUAUCCAACCUGCCCUUUACUCCGGGAUAGUCUCCUGAAAGGGAGUUUAAUACCGGAUGUGUUUGUCUUUCCGCAUGGGAGGCGACAAAUAAAAGAAUUAAUUGGUUAAAGGAAGUGGGGAGUGCGUCCCACUUAGCUUGUUGG
rnacentral:rRNA from 1 species